GAAAAUAUAUGGGCUGAAUGUCUUUCUAUUUGCUCUUUAAAGACCUUGCACAAAUAAUGAUGAUGACUGGGAUUUUUUUUUCAUGGAAAAAAAAAAAACAGAAAUGGUGAGGGUACCUGGAGAGGCCAAGGUGAAGGCAUUACUUCUUAAUUUAUUGAUACUGAGUUGCAUCCACCCCAGGGAGCUGGUGCUGCCUAUCCUCCGAGGACCAAAACAGCUGGAGGCUAAAGCAGCUAAUAGCAGAGGCACCUGUGGCUAUAGAGGCUGUUUGAACCCUGGGCUCUGGCAGUAAGCACUGCACUGAUCUGGAAGGAAAAGACAUGGGGCAGGACUGAGACUCUGCUGGGAAAGCAUCAAUGAUUUAGUUAAGAAGAACUAAAACAGCGAAUUCCAUAAUGGGAGGUUUUGCCUAUGACUUUCUUCUAGGGUGUAAGUUGGUUCCGCAUCAUAAUGUAAUUAUAUAUUUUUCACUUUUUUAAUUGACAGAUAACAUUUUAUGUUUUUAUCAUGUACAACAUGAUGUUUUGAAGUACAUAUACAAAAUGCAAAGGUUAAAUCUAGCUCAUCAACAAAUGAACUCACACAGUUAUCACUUU
rnacentral:lncRNA from 10 species